rnacentral:lncRNA from 1 species
GAUUGGCCGUCACUCAAGGAGGUGAUCCAUAUUCACUAGUCGUAGGACUAAACUGUGGCAACAGAUGGCGGAGGACGACGGCAGACGAUGUGAAACAACUAAAAGAGACACUGGAAAUAUCUCUAAGAUUCUUAGGAGGGUGGGACUGCUCAUUGAAGUAUUUAAGAAAAGAUUAAAUUUUUAAAGCCGCCUGUGGCGACGGCCACUGGCCAUUGGCGGCAACAAAGACAGAGUAGGAAGAGACUUAGAUAACCUGCUCUAAUACGAACUUGAGAUUGAAACUUAAAAUAAUUCUCGAGGGCUUAAUUGAUCCAUCUCAUAAUCUUUUAUUUAUAAGAAUAAACUGAUACAAGAGUAAAUGAUAAAUAGGAUAACCCUAGACACAAUAUAAUCAUGAUAAAUAGGGUAACCUUAGACACAAUAUAAUUAUUAUAAAUAGGGUAAAUAUUAUAACAUUAAUGUUAGAUACUCUUGAUAUUUUUCAUCAGAGAAUUUGGAGUUCACAGUUUCUGCCUUAAAGACAUGGGCAGUCUUGGUAGGAAAACCAUGCAAUGAGAAGUAGUUUUCUUGGGUGUGACCCAUCAUUUUACAGUGCGUGCAAUGAGUUCACCCCUAACCUCCACGUCCUCCUCUAGUAUUUCGUCCAUGAACUUCCUUGCUUUGAGGCAUUGGAACUCAAAGGAGACGUCAUGACUGGUUAACAUUUGGUCUCUAAGAUGAUCAAAGUCUGAAUGUAGAGCAUGAAAGAUCAUCACUAUAUAGAUAUUGUCACGUUUCUUCUUUAUUUCAUCCAAAGACCACUUCUAAGAACAUAUUUAGUUCUUCAAAUGCAAACUCAGCUUCGAUCAUAAAAGAUACCAUAUCAAGGUCAGUUUGUUUAAGGGGUGCAAGUUUGUUGUAGAGUCACAAAGAUGUUGGAUGUCAUUUGCAUAAAUAUUUUGAGCUUUCUUCCAAAGAAUGACAGCUUUUAAAAGCUCUAAGAGAAAUAAAAAGCUUUAGUUCCACAUGUUGCCACAACAAAGCAAAGAGUUGGAAAUCAACUUGCUUCCACUAUUCAGCCUUCUCAGGAAGCACAUUGCUUCCAUUUUGCUCAAGGUGGUAAGGAUGACCUUGACCAAAAAACCACAUUUCAAUGAAUGCCGACCAUGAAAAUUAAUUUUUUCCAUUUAAAUUUUUAGUGGUAAUUGUAGGAUUUCCAAAAAUAAUAGGUCCAAUAGACAUUUUGAAAAUGGAUUUUGAAGACAAAAACAAUAGUCUUUAAAGGAAAAAUUUGGGUUUGAGAGAAAUAAAAACCUUUAAUCGACAAGGAGGAGAGAAUCUCUUUGUGACUAAGAGUCUACCAAAAAAUCCCAAAACAUGACACGAGUGGCAGAAACGUACCGGGAAUGCUUUGGCAAGUCAGACGAUGGUCGUUUGAAGAAGAUCUGGCGAUUGGAAGGCACCGCAUGGGCUUCACCCGCCUCAAGACAACAUCGGUAAUUGACGCACAUGACAAUGCGUGGGGAGGCUUCUUGCUCUGAUUUCGACAGGGUUGGUGGUCACUUGAAGAGGUGAUCAUGAUCCAGUGGUCACCAACGAAAACUAUGGCGGUGGUCGAUGACAACAGUGGCAGACAUAGCAGUUGGCGGCGGAAAAUGCACCAGAUAUGACAAAUUAACAGAUCAAGAUCAACAUGCUCUGAUACCAACUUAAAACAAUAGAGAGAAAUUAUAUUGAAGUCCUAGAGGAGCUUAAUUAACUCUCUUCUUAAUUAUACACUUAUAGGGCUUAAUAGCUAAUUAAGACGAAAUACAACACACACACAACUCAGACUCCACUAAUUAACUAGCUCACAUAGUUGUGUGCACAUGGGUUUAAUUAUUCUAACAAAAACAAAAUACAAUUGCUAGAUCUAGUGUUGAAGUCAAACACUAUUUUAUGGUUGCAAUUGCAUUUGAGAUGGCAUGGCAUAAGUAAUUUCAACAAUUACAAUUUAGAGAUACUUAUGAGGCUAAAUUGAUUUGUGACACCAAACACCACUACACAUUGCAUCUAAUCUAACCUUCCAUGCACAAACCAAACACCUAGAGAUAGAUUAUUGUUUUGUUAGAGAAAAUAUGCUUUUAGGAGAACACUAACUUUGUUAGUUCCACUUAUCAACUAGCAAACAUUAUGAUAGGCCUUUGUUAGUUUACAGGAGGAGGGAAAGAGUGAGGUGAUUACUUGUCUUAAUAGUUAGGUAGAAAAGGGGGAAGUUUAACUGAAUAAUCUGUUAGAAGAAUAGGCGGGAAGGGGCUGAAUAAUCUGUUAGAAGAAUAGGCGGGAAGGGGGUGUAUAAAGAGUAUAUGAUUAAACAGAGAGGAGGGAUUAUGUUUUUGUUGAUGUAAAGAACAGGUUCACUGAACCUUGUCGAGGGAGGUUAUGCUCCCAGUUUCUGCACAGAUACAUUCUUCAUAAUAAUACAAUUCUUUCAUUCAUAAUUCUUUGUUGUUCAUACUGUGUGAUAGUGAGAACAGUUAGGUUCGAUACUUAGGAACCUAACAUUUUGGUCCGACCUGCCGAAUACUCGAACGGAGGGUGCGGGAUUAUCCAUGGAAGGAAAAGUUGACGAAAGAUUUAAAGUAAUGGAGGGACGAAUGGAGACGGUGGAGAUUGCAUUCGAUGGGAUGAAGGCUGAGACUGGAGCGUUGCGCCAAGAUACAUUGGCGAUUCGUCAAGAAUUGAAAGAAAUUGUGAAGAUUUUGGGGGAGAGAGGGCGACGUCUAGAUGACCAGCAGUUGGAGGGGAGCGAAGCUUCGGUAAACGAAAAUGUCAAAAAAAACGGGGGAGAACGGUGGCGGAACUGAAGGUAUUCGUACUGAGAGCGUGGUCAAUUGGAGGAAAAAGGUGGAACUACCCACUUUCGAGGGAUUGGAUCCUCUCAUCUGGAUCAAUCGGGCGGAUAGGUUUUUCGAUUUGCAAGGAGUGACGGAGGAUGAGGAGAGGGUGCGAUUGGCGUAUGUGAGCAUGGAGGGUAGCGCCGGAUAUUGGUUCCGAUUCUGGAAGGAGAAAGCUCGUAAUCAAUCAUGGGCGGGAUUGAAGAAAGCUUUGGUGGCGCGAUUUGGGGAUAGAAGUAGGGGCACUGUUUUUGAACGGCUGACCACCACCAAACAAACAGGAACGGUGGAUGAGUUCAUUAAGGAAUUUGAAAUGUUGGUAGGGCAGACAUCGAAUCUGCCAGAGGAGAUUUUGUUGGGGUAUUUCAUGGGGGGAUUACAAGAACCCAUACGCAGUCAAGUAAGAUUGCUGGAUCCUCGGGGGUUGAUGGAUGCGAUGCGAAUGGCACGAGACGGAGAGGCGUUGUAUGGCGGGACGAAAACAGGGGGAACGGGAAAAAUUGUAUCAAAUUGGAGUAGGCCUAUGGGGACGGUGUCGCGAACUGAAAUCGUUCGACCAAACCCAGAACGAGGUGGUAUAACCGAGAACAGUGGGUCGUCACGACGGGAAUUCACCCAGGCAAGUGCAGCGGCGUCAAACAAUGUGGCGAGCAGAGGGCAGAACUUUCGCAACCUACCUUACGCUGAAUAUGUGAAGCGUAGGGAUGAAGGAAAAUGCUUCCGAUGUGGAGGAGCUUUUGGACCGGGGCAUCAAUGCCCAAAGAGAAGCUUGAGGAUGUUGAUUCUGGCGGAAGAUGAAGGGGAGAAUGAGGCUGGGAUAGAGAUGGAGGAGACCCAGUUGCAGAUGGAGCUCUCAGCUUUCUCGGCGGGAGGUCUGACGCAGGCCAAAACGAUGAAGGUGCAAGGUGAGAUUAAGGGGAGUAAAGUGAUCAUCCUGAUUGACAGUGGCGCAAGCCACAGCUUCAUUAAUAAAGGAUUGGUGGAGACACUGGGGUUGCCAGUAACAGAUACUAAACCUUAUAUGGUUAGUCUUGGAGAUGGGUGGAAGAAGGAGGCCAGCGGGUGCUGUGAAGGGGUGCAGAUACGCAUAGGAGAUGUGGGGAUCACAACAAGUUUGCACGUUUUCGAAUUGGGAGGAGUGGACGUGAUUAUGGGAGUCGAGUGGCUGGCAACUUUAGGAGAAGUCAUGAUAGAUUGGAGUAAGCUAACUAUGAAGUUCAGCCAGAAGGGAAAGGAGGUAACCAUAAAAGGGGACCCGAGGUUGGCCAGAAGUCUGAUAUCUCCAGAGGCUCUUCAAAAGAUAAAGGAGGUGGAUAUUUGUCUGUUGGUUUAGGAGUUGGGAGAAAUGGAGAAGGGGGAAUACAGACCACAGGAAGUUGAGAUUACAGAAACACAGAGAGAAGAAAUGGAGGGAUUGCUGAAGCAAUUUUCGGGGGUGUUUAAGGAGCUUACAGGGUUACCUCCCGAGAGAACGAUGACACACCAAAUAACCCUGAAGGAGGGAAUAGAUCCUGUAAACGUGAGGCCCUACAGGUACCCACAUGUGUUGAAAAAUGAGAUAGAGAAACAAGUGGCAGACAUGAUGCAGACAGGAAUAAUACGGGCCAGUACCAGUCCAUACUCCAGCCCUAUGAUCUUGGUGAAGAAAAAGGAUGGAUCUUGGAGGUUUUGUGUAGAUUUCAGAGCUUUAAACAGGGCCACGGUUCCUGAUAAGUUUCCAAUCCCAGUCAUAGAAGAAUUGUUGGAUGAGCUAUGGGGAGCAAGUUUUUUUUCUAAGAUUGAUCUCAAAGCUGGGUAUCACCAAAUAAGGAUGGGGGAGAGGGACAUACCAAAGACAACUUUCCGCACACAUUUAGGGCAUUAUGAAUUUAUGGUCAUGCCAUUUGGCUUGACUAAUGCCCCCGCAACUUUCCAAAGCGCGAUGAAUGAUUUGCUGAGACCUUACAUAAGGAAGUUUGUGCUUGUAUUCUUUGAUGACAUUCUGGUCUAUAGUCAGACCUGGACCGAACACCCGAAACAUGUAGAGAUGGUGUUGAAGAGGUUAGAGAAGGACAGCUGGGUCGUUAAUCAAAAGAAGAGCGAAUUUGGACGAGUUCAGAUUGCGUAUUUAGGCCAUUUAAUCUCGGAGAAGGGGGUGCAAAUGGAUCCUGGGAAAAUUAAGGCAGUGGUAGAAUGGGAAAGACCAAGGAAUGUGAAAGCAUUGAGAGGAUUCCUUGGGUUGACAGGGUAUUAUCGACAUUUCGUCAAGGAUUAUGGAAAAGUGGCUAAACCGUUGACUGAAUUAUUGAAGAAAGGGGAGUAUAAGUGGAAUGAGAAGGGCAGAAGAGGCAAUGAGACGCUUAAAAGAGGAGAUGACCACUGCACCCGUGCUGGUGCUACCUGAUUUUGAGAAACAAUUCCAUAUUGAAUGUGAUGCUUCCGGAGGGGGAGUUGGUGCGGUGUUGACACAAGACGGGAAGCCUAUAGCAUACUUUAGCAAAGCUUUAUCCACAGGAUCAUUGAAUAAAUCGAUUUAUGAGAAAGGGCUUAUGGCCUUGGUGAUGGCCAUACACCAUUGGCGACCUUACUUACUUGGACAGCGGUUUGUGGUGCAUACGGAUCAAAGAAGCUUGCGGUAAUUGCUAGAACAACGAAUUACCACCCAAAAUCAACAGAAUUGGCUUGCCAAACUGUUGGGAUAUGAUUUCGAAAUCAUAUAUAAGACUGGGAGUUCGAACAAGGUCGCGGAUGCCCUGUCAAGGAAGAUGGAGGAAACGGAGGAGGAAGUGAAGGAGUUGAGGGUGUUAUCUAGACCGUAUUGGCAGAGUUUCGAGGAAGUAAUUAAAGAGGUCGAGACAGAUGAGCAUCUGAGAAAAAAUAGUGGCAGAUAUCCGAAAGAAUCCUGAUUCACAUUCCCAUUUUACUCUAGAACAUGAGAGGUUGCAUUACAAGGGGAGACUCUUGAUAUCAGCCCAGUCGGCGUGGAUCCCAAAAUUGUUGGCAGAGUUUCACCUUACCCAAACUGGGGGGCAUUCGGGAAUAUACAGAACUUAAAGGAGGGUGGCCCAGUCACUUUACUGGGUAGGGAUGAAGAAAGCGAUGACUGAUUAUGUGGCAAGUUGCUUGGUGUGCCAGCAACAUAAAUAUCUCACGUCAUCUCCUCAGGGCCUGCUGCAGCCUUUGCCGAUUCCAAAUGCGGUGUGGGAAGAAAUCAGCAUGGAUUUCAUAGUUAAAUUACCAAAGUCAAAUGGGUUCGAUGCUGUAAUGGUAGUCGUUGAUCGCCUCAGCAAAUACGGGCAUUUCGUGCCACUAAAACAUCCGUAUUCAGCGCGGACGAUAGCGGAUGUGUUCAUCAGGGAGGUGGUUCGACUGCACGGAAUACCAGCCUCGGUGGUAAGUGACCGUGAUCCUUUAUUUUUUAGUAUUUUUUGGAAAGAACUAUUCAAGAGGCAAGGAACUCAGCUGCAAAUGAGCACUGCUUACCACCCUGAAACGGAUGGGCAAACGGAGGUAUUAAAUAGAAUUUUGGAGGGAUACUUGCGGUGCUUUUGUUCGGAGCAACCAAAAGGGUGGAGUGGGGUAUUAGCAUGGGCGGAAUACUGGUAUAACACCAGUUUUCAAGGAGCUAUGAAGAGUACUCCGUUCGAGGUGGUUUAUGGGCGGCAGCCUCCAUCAUUACACAGGUUUGUUCCCGGAGAGACGGCAGUAGAAGCGGUAGCAUAGGAGUUGCGAACACGGGAUGAGGCCCUGAAGCAAUUGAAGUUUCAUCUCGCCAAGGCGCAAGAGUUGAUGGUUAAACAAGCCAAUAAAAAAAGGAGAGCAGCAGAUUUUGAAGAGGGGGAUUGGGUAUUUCUCAAAAUUCGGCCACAUAGACAAACAUCGUUGCAAUCGAAGCUACACUCGAAAUUGGCUGCACGAUAUUAUGGCCCGUACCAGAUUGAACAGAAGGUGGGGAAAGUGGCAUAUAAACUUCAGCUACCAGCAUCCGCGCGUAUACAUCCGGUCUUCCAUGCUUCCCAGUUGAAAAAGGCAGUAGGAGAUAGGGCGAUGGAGAAGGAACUGCCUGAAGACCUUCAAGGGAAGGGCCGUCUUAUUGGCCCACUAAAGUUUUAGACAGGAGACAAUAAAAAAGGGGGACGAGGAAGUGUCUCAGGUGCUGGUUGAGUGGCAAGAAGGGGGACGUGACGGCGCAACCUGGGAAGAUGUCGUUACUAUACGUGAUCAGUACCCAGAAUUCAACCUUGAGGACAAGGUUGAAGAUGGGGCGGUGGGUAUUGAUAGGCCUUUGUUAGUUUACAGGAGGAGGGAAAGAGUGAGGUGAUUACUUGUCUUGAUAGUUAGGUAGAAAAGGGGGAAGUUUAACUGAAUAAUCUGUUAGAAGAAUAGGCGGGAAGGGGCUGAAUAAUCUGUUAGAAUAGGCGGGAAGGAGGUGUAUAAAGAGUAUAUGAUUAAACAGAGAGGAGGGAUUAUGUUUUUGUUGAUGUAAAGAACAGGUUCACUGAACCUUGUUGAGGGAGGUUAUGCUCCUAGUUUCUGCACAGAUACAUUCUUCAUAAUAAUACAGUUCUUUCAUUCAUAAUUCUUUGUUGUUCAUACUGUGUGAUAGUGAGAACAGUUAGGUUCGAUACUUAGGAACCUAACACAUUAUACAAAAUAUCUCACAAUUCUCAAGUAGACUACUUUUACAACAAGCUUGGCUCAUGAUAAUAUAUGCUAAAAAGGGCAAGUACAUAAGAUCUUAUUAGAUUUCUUCCAUCUAUUCCUUAUUUUCCUUUCUUGCAUGGUCAACCAUAAAUCUAAUAUGGAAUAACAAUUGUUGGGCCAACUAAGCCCAUCUAUUUUAAGGCCCUUAAUGAAUCCCCCCAAUUCGACCAUGUAAACUUUAUGAGAUGUCCACUUCUUAGCAUGAAAGAGUAUGUUAAGAUCCAUUAUCAACUAGCGGUGUGACUAAAAUAAUGCAUAUAAGUAGGGAUGAAACCUCUCUAUACGAGUUGGCUUUCGAAGUUAAGUUAGGCCUGGACCUAAACUAGAAUAAAAUGAGACAAAUAAUUGAGGAGAAAAUCUAAAGUGUAAAAUCUAUUGCAUAAAUAGGGCAGAACUACCAAAUAGUGCCAAAUAAUGUCUACUCUGGCUGUUAUAGCUCAAAAAAAGAAUCCAAAUAAGAUAUUGAAU